GUCCACGCCGUAAACGAUGGAUACUAGCUGUUCGGAGCAAUCUGAGUGGCUAAGCGAAAGUGAUAAGUAUCCCACCUGGGGAGUACGUUCGCAAGAAUGAAACUCAAAGGAAUUGACGGGGGCCCGCACAAGCGGUGGAGCAUGUGGUUUAAUUCGAUGAUACGCGAGGAACCUUACCAAGGCUUAAAUGUAGAUUGACCGGUUUGGAAACAGACUUUUCGCAAGACAAUUUACAAGGUGCUGCAUGGUUGUCGU
rnacentral:rRNA from 1 species